AUUGAACGCUGGCGGCAGGCCUAACACAUGCAAGUCGAACGAGUGGCGGACGGGUGAGUAAUGUCUGGGAAACUGCCCGAUGGAGGGGGAUAACUACUGGAAACGGUAGCUAAUACCGCAUACCAUCGGAUGUGCCCAGAUGGGAUUAGCUAGUAGGGGGGGUAACGGCUCACCUAGGCGACGAUCCCUAGCUGGGCUGAGGGGAGGACCAGCCACACUGGAACGAAGACACGGCCCAGACUCCAACGGCGGGAAGCAGUGGGAAAUAUUGCACAAUGGGCGCAAUCCUGAGGCAGACAUGCGGCGUAUAUGAAGAAGGCCUUCGGUUGGUAAGGUACGUUAAGCGGGGAGGCGUUACCCGCAGAAGAAGCACCGGCUAACUCCGUGCCAGCAGCCGCGGUAAUUC
rnacentral:rRNA from 1 species